GCUUCCUGUGUAGCGGAAUGAAUCAAGAGGAUCGAUCUGAGGAGCUUAAGUAGUGAAAAUUCACGUGGAGCUAACGCAAUACCUAUAUGAAAUUUGUCAACGUGAUUGAAAAACGCAACUCAGCACUUAGUCGGUGGAAACAAUCAUCGAUUGCAAAUCCCACAACGCAGCAAAAUCAGAUCACCGUGUAUAAUAUAAAACAAAUACGUGAAGAUAUAAACCCCCGAAAAUAAGUGAAAAUAUUAUUUACUCUUAUAUAUUCAACGCGAUUAGUUCUACGGAAAAUAUGUCGGAUACAUCAGAACACCUAUUCAACUUCGUUCCUUUGGCAUCAUCCCAAACUCAAAGUCAGAGUGAACGGGAGUCAGGGGUGAGACGUCUGUCCUUGGGGGUCAAGAGGAAGGCAACACCCGUUUACUCGUUUAUCAAAAAACCACAUCGGAAUGGAGGUACAAAAGUCAUCAAAAUAGAAAUUUACGACAGUAACAAAUUGAAUGAGAACUUUGAACAUAUAUGUAAAUGUAAUGCCGAGCUGUGUGCCCAAUAUGUAGUGAAAAAUACGUUAUUAGACCAAGUUUACGAAUUAACGCGUAGAGUAAUUGACAAGAUAGACGAAGGUUUGUCCUCAGAUACGCCACAUGGGUACACCAUCGAAUAAGGGUACAAUUUAAUGUGAUUGUGUAAUAUGAACAUAGUUCUUAAGUUAAUAAACAUUAUAAAAGUA